UACGUAGGGGGCUAGCGUUGUCCGGAAUCAUUGGGCGUAAAGAGCGUGUAGGCGGCCCGGUAAGUCCGCUGUGAAAGUCCAGGGCUCAACCCUGGGAUGCCGGUGGAUACUGUUGGGCUCGAGUCCGGAAGAGGAGUGUGGAAUUCCUGGUGUAGCGGUGAAAUGCGCAGAUAUCAGGAGGAACACCAAUGGCGAAGGCAGCACUCUGGGACGUGACUGACGCUGAGACGCGAAAGCGUGGGGAGCGAACAGG
rnacentral:rRNA from 1 species